CGGGGUGGCGGAAUGGCAGACGCGGCGGACUUAAAAUCCGCUGUCCGUAAGGGCGUGCGGGUUCAAAUCCCGCCCUCGGC
rnacentral:tRNA from 1 species